AGCAUUGAUGAAGAUACAAUGGCUUUGUUUAAGUUGACAGCUGAGAGCCUAGGUCUUGGAGAGGAUAGAAUGGCCUUCCCAACACAGAUCGAAACCUGCACCCCUGCCAAAGAUUAGGAAGAACUGACACCCCAGAGCCGCUCGACUUUCUUCUGAAUUCAACCUAAGAACCAACUCUAUCCUGAAAUCCAUGCCUAUCUCUUCAUCUGACAAGUUGUUUCCCCCUGCAGGCUUGGCCAG